UACAAGGCCUGGGGCCCAACUGUUCCCACUCAGUGAUCAGGACUGAGCACAGACGGCUCACCAUGGAGUUGGAGCUGAGUUGGAUUUUCCUGUUUGCAAUUUUCAAGGGUGUCCAGGCAGAAGUGCAACUCGUGGAGUCCGGAGGAGGCUUGGUGAAGCCUGGGGAGUCCCUGAGACUCUCCUGUGUGGCCUCGGGAUUCACCUUAAGUAAUUACUGGAUGGAUUGGGUCCGACAAGCUCCAGGGAAAGGGCUGGAGUGGAUCUCAGCAAUCAGCGGUGGUAGCACAUAUUAUGCGGACUCCGUGAAGGGCCGAUUCACCAUCUCCAUAGACAACGGCAAGAACACGCUGCAUCUGCAGAUGAGCAGCCUGACACCCGAGGACACGGCCUUGUACUACUGUGCAGCUGGCACACUGGUGGCCUACAUCCACAACAAUGUCUCCUGCAAGUCUGUGUCAAGAAUCCGCACUGGCAAGGCCCAGAGCUCAGUGUUCAAAGCUAUAAUGUCUGUGCCAGAAGGAUGA